CUAGCACGACUUAGUUCCAUCCC
rnacentral:siRNA from 1 species